GGUGUAGCCAAGCGGUAAGGCACCGGAUUUUGAUUCCGGCAUUCGUAGGUUCAAAUCCUGCCACC
rnacentral:tRNA from 1 species